rnacentral:rRNA from 1 species
AUGGACAAAAGCUCAAGCUUGGGGAUGCCCAUGUCACCCCAAGACAUAUUCAAGAAGUACAAGCGUCAAAGCUUGGGGAUGCCCAAGGCAUCCCCUUCUUUAUCAAUAAAAAUAUCAGGUCCUUUUUCAGUACACUAUAUUUUUAUUGCUUCAUAUACUAUGUGUUGUUCUUGGAGCGUCUUUGUUUUUGUUUUUAGUUUAGUUUGCUAUAGUACUUGGUUAGAUCCCAGCUCUUUUGUUUUGGAGAGAGACACGCUCCGUUUUCAUUGCCUAGAACACUCUAGUUUCAUUCCUAUUACUCUGCGAGUGUUCUCUUUUGCUAGAACUGGCUUUAGUAUUCGUUUUGUUCAGAACUUUUUAGUUCUUCUUUGUAGUUAG